rnacentral:lncRNA from 1 species
CGGCCCAGGCCCGGCAUGGCUUGGUAGGCCAGGCACGGCUCAUGCCCAGGCCCGGCAUAGCCCGCGUGCCAGCCUAUAUGGGCCUUGGCACGGUCCAUUUGGCACGGCACGUUUUUAAAAUUUUUAUUUUAAAAAAUAAUUUUUAUAAAAUAAAACAGAUUGGGAGAUAAAUAAAAAAAAUAAGAGAUAUUGAAUUUUUUUUGUUUAAAAAUCACCUUGUAAUGGUAGAGGAUUUGACAUAGACUCCUACCAGUUUAUUAAUAUAAAUUAAAAUUAUACAAAAG